rnacentral:tRNA from 1 species
UUGAUGCUGGUCGGCAUCACGGGCUUCAUAUCCAUGGGCUUCCACUG